AAUAAAACAUUUGGUUUUCAAUCCAGUGAGAAUUAACCUUUGAGACUUGCAAAACAUCUAUUUGCGAGCCAAGAGCAUGAAGAUUGCACUUUUUUUUGGUCCUGAAACCUACUCUGUGAUUUUUAUUUCUGGCACGACACAACACUCGUUUCAUAAUCGCCAUGUUUUGGCGUAAAAAGCGCCGAUUUUGAUUACACUGCAGCAUUGUAUAAUGAGCCGCUCCAGUCUGCUGACUCUAGCAAGGGGGGCACCAGCGGUCUGGCAUUCGCACAAACUCUCCUCCCUCCUUCAGCCUCACUGUGAGCCGGAGAACGGCUCGAUCCAAAAAUACAAGCAAGCUGAAACAGGAGGGCGAUCUAAAAGGGAGACUUUCAGGUACAAACAGUCACAAGCUAUGGCAACUCCACAUGCUUCCAGCAUGAGUCACUUCCCCAAACAAAAGCCCCUUCACUAGGGGUGGUGUGACAGGCCCCCAAAGGCUAGGAGUCGCCUGGAUACCAAACAAAAACAGGGAUCAGUGAUGGGAUCACGUGGUGCCGCAACUCAGGUUUCACAACAAACAGAUGCUACGCAGUAACAGCUGAUCCUUUCCACUAACUUAUCUCUCAGAUUCGAUGGGAUAAGAUCAAUCCUCAUCAUUUCGCUCAUCUAAGAAGCUAAUUUGGAAAGAGGCUGAUGGAAGUAUGCAGACAGGAUGUCUCAAAGACAGGGAGACAAGAUUCAUUAGGUCAUACCUGAGAAGGACAUCAAGGCUUUGGGGAGCUUUUAUGAGACACACUGGAG